AGGGUAUAUGUGUAAUUUCCAACUUAAAUUGAUUGCAUAAAUUUAGUUCUCUCUCACAAAUCAAGUAAUCAUAAUAUUGAACCCUAGAUCUAGAAAAAGUCGUUCUCUCUAUCUUCAUCUUCAUCACCACCGUAAACCACCAUAUUCAACCCUAGAUCAGGGUCCGCCGUAAACCAACAACCAUCAUCGCCGGCCACCUCCACCUACAUCUUCAUCUUCAUCACCGCAGGCCACCACCACCACCAUCUUCAUGUUUUACCGGAAUCCUAGCGGCGGUGACUGACGGCGAAGCCAAAAGUAUCAACAUCAACGGCAGCCAAAAGUAUCUUCUGUCGGAUGGAUGUGCAAACAGCGGGAUCAGCGGUAGUAGCAUUCGGUGGCCCAGCGUUGGCCGUUGCCGGUGAUGUUUCUUUAGUGUUCCUCAAAAGUUUUCUUUCGCAUCAAGUCGGUGGUGGUAGUAAUCUAAUCAGCUACCUUUUGUUCCUGGUAUUCUCUCUCUCCUAUGAUGUUUAUGAUCACACAUUAACCAGCAUAUGGUUGCUUCUUUCAAUUAGGUGCCACCCCUUUUUCAAUCAAUGUGGGUCCCUUAAUUAGCUGGAUGAUAAAGAUCCACUGGCGGUUUUCCGGAUGACUGAACGGAACGGUUAUCCGCCGGGGGUCCAGAAUAUCCAAAAUCGAUCACCAACAUAAAGAGAUGUCGUUAACGAGAAAAGUGGAGAUGGAAGGUCGAUAAGGAUGUUUCACGUAUGAG